rnacentral:misc_RNA from 1 species
GAUGAAGAACGUAGUGAAAUGCGAUAAGUAGUGUGAAUUGCAGAAUUCAGUGAAUCAUCGAAUCUUUGAACGCACAUUGCGCCCGCCAGUAUUCUGGCGGGCAUGCCUGUCCGAGCGUCAUUUCAACCCUCGCGCCCAUCUGGGCUGCGGUGUUGGGGACCGGCCUGCCCCCCCGGGGCGCGCCGCCCCCCAAAUUCAGUGGCGGUCUCGCUGCAGCCUCCCUUGCGUAGUAGCACACCUCGCACCGGAGCGCAGCGCGGCCACGCCGUAAAACCCCCGACCCCCAUGAGUUUGACCUCGGAUCAGGUAGGAAUACCCGCUGAACUUAAGCAUAUCAAUAAGCGGAGGA